GGACAACCUACCCUAUGGAGGGGGAUAACCCCGGGAAACUGGGGAUAAUACCCCAUAGACUAUGGAAGCUGGAAUGCUCUGUAGUUGAAAGGUCCGCCGCCAUAGGAUGGGUCUGCGGCCGAUUAGGUUGUUGUUGGGGUAACGGCCCAACAAGCCUGUAAUCGGUACGGGUUGUGGGAGCAAGAGCCCGGAGAUGGAUUCUGAGACACGAAUCCAGGCCCUACGGGGCGCAGCAGGCGCGAAAACUUUACAAUGCGGGAAACCGUGAUAAGGGAACUCCGAGUGCCCGUAAAAUCGGGCUGUCCAUCUGUUUAAAUAACAGGUGAAGAAAGGGCCGGGCAAGACCGGUGCCAGCCGCCGCGGUAAUACCGGCGGCUCGAGUGGUGGCCACUAUUACUGGGCUUAAAGCGUUCGUAGCUGGUCUGUUAAGUCUCUGGGGAAAUCUACUGGCUUAACCAAUAGACGUUUCAGGGAUACUGGCAGACUAGGGACCGGGAGAGGUGAGAGGUACUCCAGGGGUAGGAAGUGAAAUCCUGUAUCCCUUGGGGGACCCACCUUGUGGCGAAAGGCGUCUCACCAGAACGGCUCCGACAGUGAAGGGACGAAAGCUGGGGGAGCAAACCGGAUUAGAUACCCGGGUAGUCCCAGCCGUAAACGAUGUGCGUUAGGUGUAUCGAUGACCACGAGUCAUCGAGGUGCCGAAGAGAAAUCGUGAAACGUACCGCCUGGGAAGUACGGUCGCAAGGCUGAAACUUAA
rnacentral:rRNA from 1 species